UACGGGGGGAGCAAGCGUUGUUCGGAUUUACUGGGCGUAAAGGGCGCGUAGGCGGCCACCGCAAGUCGGUUGUGAAAUCUCUGGGCUUAACCCAGAAAGGUCAACCGAUACUGCGGGGCUAGAGUGCAGAAGGGCAACUGGAAUUCUCGGUGUAGCGGUGAAAUGCGUAGAUAUCGAGAGGAACACCUGCGGCGAAGGCGGGUGCUGGGCUGACACUGACGCUGAUGCGCGAAAGCUAGGGAGCGAACGGG
rnacentral:rRNA from 1 species